GACGAACGCUGGCGGCGUGCUUAACACAUGCAAGUCGAACGGAAAGGCCCUGCUUUUGUGGGGUGCUCGAGUGGCGAACGGGUGAGUAACACGUGAGUAACCUGCCCUUGACUUUGGGAUAACUUCAGGAAACUGGGGCUAAUACCGGAUAGGAGCUCCUGCUGCAUGGUGGGGGUUGGAAAGUUUCGGCGGUUGGGGAUGGACUCGCGGCUUAUCAGCUUGUUGGUGGGGUAGUGGCUUACCAAGGCUUUGACGGGUAGCCGGCCUGGGAGGGUUACCGGCCACAUGGGGACUGAGAUACGGCCCAGACUCCUACGGGAGGCAGCAGUGGGGAAUAUUGCACAAUGGGCGGAAGCCUGAUGCAGCAACGCCGCGUGCGGGAUGACGGCCUUCGGGUUGUAAACCGCUGUCGCCUGUGACGAAGCGUGAGUGACGGUAAUGGGUAAAGAAGCACCGGCUAACUACGUG
rnacentral:rRNA from 1 species